AUCGAACCCGGAGAUAGCUGGUUCUCCUCGAAAUAGCUUUAGGGCUAGCCUCAUGGAUCAUUGAUGGGGGUAGAGCACUGAAUGUGCGCGGGGGCCACAAAGCCUACCAAACGCUAUCAAACUUCGAAUACCAUACAAUGCAGACCAUGGGAGUCAGUCCGCGAGAGAUAAGUUCCGCGGGCAAAAGGGGAAUACCCCAGAUCAACCGCUAAGGUCCCCAAGUUCACGUUAAGUGGAGAAGGAUGUGGAAUUGCACAGACAACCAGGAUGUUGGCUCAGAAGCAGCCACACAUUUAAAGAGUGCGUAAUAGCUCACUGGUCGAGUGAUUGUGCGCCGAAGAUGUCCGGGGCUAAACGUGACACCGAAGCGAUGGGUGCAUCUGAAAGGAUGCGCGGUAGAGGAGCAAUGUGCAGAGGCAGAAGCCGUAUCGAGAGGCACGGUGGACACUGCACAAGAGAGAAUGCCGGUAUGAGUAGCGAGAGGCAUGCGAGAAACAUGCCCGUCGAAAGCCCAAGGUUUCCUGGGGAAGGUUCAUCCGCCCAGGGUAAGUCGGGGCCUAAGCCGAGGACGGAAGUCGUAGGCGAUGGACAGCAGGUGUAGAUUCCUGCACUACCGAUGGAAUGAAGCAGUGACACAGAAGGAUAACUCGAGCAGGGUGAUGGUCAACCCUGUGCAAGCAUCAAGGUUGGGUUGUAGUGAAGUACGCAAUCCUACAAGCUGAGGUGUGAUGCGGACCGAAAUUUCAGUAGGGAAGCGAGUGAGUUCACGCUGGCGAGAAAAGCUGCUAGUACAUCCAAAGGUACCCGUACCGGAAACCGACGCAGGUGGGCGAGGAGAGAAUCCUGAGACGAACGGGAGAACCCUUGUUAAGGAACUCGGCAAAAUGACCCCGUAACUUCGGGAUAAGGGGUGCCUGCGAGAGCAGGCCGCAGAGAAUAGUCACAAGCGACUGUUUAGCAAAAACACAGGUAUCUGCGAAAGCGAGAGCUGACGUAUAGGUGCUGACACCUGCCCGGUGCUGGAAGGUUAAGGGAACAUGUUAGAGCAAUCGAAGCAUCGAACCGAAGCCCCAGUAAACGGCGGCCGUAACUAUAACGGUCCUAAGGUAGCGAAAUUCCUUGUCGGGUAAGUUCCGACCUGCACGAAUGGUGUAACGAUCUGGACACUGUCUCAACCGUGAGCUCGGUGAAAUUGUAGUCCCGGUGAUGAUGCCGGGUACCCGCAACGGGACGAAAAGACCCCGUGAACCUUUACUAUAGCUUAACGCUGAAUUUGGGUACACAAUGUGUAGGAUAGGCCGGAGGCUUUGAAGCGGGCACGCCAGUGUUCGUGGAGCCGACGUUGAAAUACGGCCCUUUGUGUAUUUGAGUUCUAACCCUGCGAAGGGGACACCGUUUGGUGGGUAGUUUGACUGGGGUGGUCGCCUCCAAAAGCGUAACGGAGGCUUCCCAAGGUACCCUCAGCACGAAUGGUAACCGUGCGCAGAGUGCAAUAGCAUAAGGGUGCUUGACUGUGAGACAUACAAGUCGACCAGGUACGAAAGUAGGGUAUAGUGAUCCGGUGGUUCUGCGUGGACUGGCCAUCGCUCAAAGGAUAAAAGGUACUCCGGGGAUAACAGGCUGAUCGCCGCCAAGAGCUCAUAUCGACGCGGCGGUUUGGCACCUCGAUGUCGGCUCGUCACAUCCUGGGGCUGGAGAAGGUCCCAAG
rnacentral:rRNA from 1 species